AAAUUACCAUUCUCUGUGAAGACAAACAGUGUUCUGUAGAAGAUGGAGUGAUUCCAGACUACAGAGGGAAUCUUGACAGAUUCUGCUUCCUUAAUGCAGACAACAAUAACCUCUGAAGAAAUAUUAGUACCUGGGAACACUUCUUGAUACAGAGAAGAGGAGAAGAGAGGAGAGUUACAGGUCAUGUGGAAUUCUGCUCUUGCUUUUGGACUGCUUUUCCUCACUGAGACCAAAUUAUUCACUGAACUCCAUAUCCUCCAGUUGCCUAAAUAUUAAGGUUUUUUUUGGUAAAGAAAUAUUUUUAUAUGACUUCAUGACACAGUGCAGUGACAUAGUGCUGCAAGUAUGACAGAAUGACACACUCUUCACUCAGCCACUCAAGCUGAAGAAUGACUGAAGAACCCUGUGAAGGUCAAAAAUCUUUUCAUCCAACUGAUGCUCUUUUAAAACUGACUUAACCCUCCUUGUGCUUUUCUGCUCAACAUGGAAGUUAGUGUUGCAGCUCCAUACUAGGGGAAAGCGUAGUGAGACUUUGCUUCCAU
rnacentral:lncRNA from 1 species